AAAUGUAUACAUAAAAAAGGGACUACUAAAGCAACUUUGCUUUUUUUACUUCAUUGCCGACGAACAGAAUUGCCUCAUUCAUAUUUAAUGGCUGCUUGCGAAAAAUGCAGUGUAAUACUAUGCACAGUGUCUGUUUCUAUGGAUGGAGAUGCCUCAUCACAUACACCCCAACACUAACGAACAUUGAUAAUGCGGGUGGAAAUAGUGAAUAUUAUUUUGCAUUUUAUUUAUCGAAUAGUGCUAUGUAUAAAUACAAAUGCAUUUAAAUAGCGGACAAAAACGUAAUGAUGCUGAUGAUGGGAUAUGUGUGUGCAUGUGCAUGCAACUCAUGCCUAUAAAUUAGUUUGGAACCUACCGCACAAUUUAAAUGGGAAAUGUAGAACAUUGCUGUGGCUCUAUUUGGUGUAAAUAUAAAAUACUUUCUUCGUUGCUAGUGCUGGAAUUUUAAAACUUGUUAUUAUAUAAGUUGAAAAAAUAAGUAAAUAAAUAAAAUACUUUGUAUGUGUAAUAUAUGAUAAA